rnacentral:rRNA from 1 species
GGUUAAGCGACUAAGCGUACACGGUGGAUGCCUUGGCAGUCAGAGGCGAUGAAGGACGUGCUAAUCUGCGAAAAGCGUCGGUAAGGUGAUAUGAACCGUUAUAACCGGCGAUGUCCGAAUGGGGAAACCCAGUGCAAUUCGUUGCACUAUCGUUAACUGAAUACAUAGGGUAACGGAGCGAACCGGGGGAGCUGAAACAUCUAAGUACCCCGCGGAAAAGAAAAAAACCAAGAAUCAC